rnacentral:rRNA from 1 species
AGCUCCAAUAGCGUAUAUUUAAGUUGUUGCAGUUAAAAAGCUCGUAGUUGGAUUUUGGGUCGGGGGCACCGGUCCGCCGUUCCGGUGUGCACUGGUGGCCCCUUCCUUUCUGCCGGGGACGUGCGUCGCACUUAAUUGGGUGGCGUUCGGAGUCGGCGUUGUUACUUUGAAAAAAUUAGAGUGUUCAAAGCAAGCCAUCGCUCUGAAUACAUUAGCAUGGAAUAACAUGAUAGGACUCCGGUCUUAUUUUGUUGGUUUCCGAGACUGGAGUAAUGAUUAAGAGGGACAGUCGGGGGCAUCCGUAUUUCAUUGUCAGAGGUGAAAUUCUUGGAUUUAUGAAAGACGAACUUCUGCGAAAGCAUUUGCCAAGGAUGUUUUCAUUAAUCAAGAACGAAAGUAC